GGGAGGGUAGCGAAGUGGCUAAACGCGGUUGACUGUAAAUCAAUUCCUACGGGUUCGGCAGUUCGAAUCUGCCCCCUCCCACCA
rnacentral:tRNA from 2 species